AUGACCCGCAGUAACCAUGAACGCAUCACGGUGUGUAACAUUAUCACACAGGUUGAAUGUGAACUUCAAAGGGCUGACAAGGAUGGAGAGCACAAGGCAGGCCUGGAACUCAUGGAGCAGCAACAGUGGAACAAUGGAACAAGGUCUCGGGGUGACGAGAACCACACCACAGGACAGGGUGUCCUGUCCGAGGUGCAGCUGCAGGAGUCGGGCUCAGGACUGGUGAAGCCCUCGCAGACCCUCUCCCUCACCUGCACCGUCUCUGGAUUCUCCAUCACAACCAGUGGUUACUACUGGAGCUGGAUCCACCAGCCCACGGGGAAGAGCCUUGAGUGGAUGGGAUACAUCCAUUCUGGUGGAAGCACAGGUUAUAACCCGUCGCUCAAGAGCCGCAUCUCCAUCACCAGAGACACGUCCAAGAACCAGUUCUCCCUGCAACUGAGCUCUGUGACCGAUGAGGACACAGGCGUGUAUUACUGUGCGAGAGACACAAUAAGACGUUUCCACUCACUGGAUUUCUCUCUUUUCUCAGGAUUUAUUUGA